AUGGCUGCCGGCCCCGCCCGCCUACGGGAGGCAGCAGUAUGGAAUCUUCGGCAAUGGACGAAAGUCUGACCGAGCAACGCCGCGUGAGUGAAGAAGGUUUUCGGAUCGUAAAACUCUGUUGUUAGAGAAGAACAAGGACGUUAGUAACUGAACGUCCCCUGACGGUAUCUAACCAGAAAGCCACGGCUAACUACGUGCCAGCAGCCGCGGUAAUACGUAGGUGGCAAGCGUUGUCCGGAUUUAUUGGGCGUAAAGCGAGCGCAGGCGGUUUCUUAAGUCUGAUGUGAAAGCCCCCGGCUCAACCGGGGAGGGUCAUUGGAAACUGGGAGACUUGAGUGCAGAAGAGGAGAGUGGAAUUCCAUGUGUAGCGGUGAAAUGCGUAGAUAUAUGGAGGAACACCAGUGGCGAAGGCGGCUCUCUGGUCUGUAACUGACGCUGAGGCUCGAAAGCGUGGGGAGCAAACAGGAUUAGAUACCCUGGUAGUCCACGCCGUAAACGAUGAGUGCUAAGUGUUGGAGGGUUUCCGCCCUUCAGUGCUGCAGCAAACGCAUUAA
rnacentral:rRNA from 1 species